UAUAUAUUUAAAGUAAGAGCGAGUGCGAGAAAUCGGAUUUUUCGACUCAAUGACCUAUCCCAAACACACUCAAAGACGAAGGCUUCAUAAAUUCUAGAAUUCCUACCCACCAAUGGAUUCUAAGGCUUUCGGGAUUACCUAAAACAGUGUAGAAGCUGUGGUGGCGGACGCGAUAUGAAAAUUUGCUUGCUGGAGGACGCCCCUAAGAGCCAACAAGCCCGGUCACUUUGGCAAGGCAAUUCCUAAGCUAGGCCUCAAUCUUUAGCUGAAGCAGGUUCUUUAGCUUCCCUUUUCGUUGAGUGUGAAGAAGAAGAAGAAUACUCGGCUGAACCCCAAGAUCUGGAACUAGAUCCCAUGUCACUCCACCCUAAGGAAAACCAAGGAGAAAGAUUCAGAUCUGGUAAAGUGUGAGUCCCAAGAGUUGGGUUCGAGGUCGAGGUGGAAGGGCGGUCUUCUUCUUCUGAAGAAGAAUCAAACUCACAAGCGGCAACGCUGAUGGCUGGAAGAAGAGGCGCCUGGCUCGGAGUUAAUAAAUUAUUCAUGCCUAUAAUUGACCGAAAAUCAAUUGCAUAAUGCGGCCACGUUAACUGCCGUUGGAUUCUUUCCUAGUCCAUGACUUCUGCUUGGUUCUGUUUGUUAAUGAUUUGAGCUUGCUUAUCUGUAAGAUUUAUGUUUGCUGACUGUUGCCUGCUCUGUUCUGCUCUGCUUUAUCAUGUCAAUAAGUUUCUCAUACCUUUUUUUUUUUUUUUUUUUUUUUUUGGAAUUUUGGGUCGAGAAAGGAAAAAUCCUUAAAUUUGGAUGCCAUUUAUGAUGAAGUACAUAAGUUCUGUAAUUUAGCCAUAAAAUUUCCAACUGCAGUUGAAAGGUUGAACUAAAAGUGGUAAUUUAUCUUUAUAUAUAACAAAAUAGAUUUUUUUUUUUUUUUUCCCUAUCAAAAAUUAU